AUCCCAUGGUGUGGACAUGCAUGGAUGUACUCCUGAAGCCUCUCCCAAGCCUCGGGAAUUGACUCAUUAGAUGUUUGCUGAAAACUUGAAAUUCUCCCGCGAAGAGC